ensembl:lncRNA
CUCAGGCACGCUCCCUGGAAAGGCAAGCAGGUGGGUGGCUGUGGGCAGCAGGGUGCUGUCCCUGUUGAAGGCUGGCGUAGCGGCUUCCUCCUCCAGUUUGGCUUCUUUCCCUUUGUGGGCAUGUCGUGUCUUCUGCAUCGCAAAUCAGCAGGGGAGAAUCAGGCCGGCAAAGCUGUGCGCCGGCCCCAUGCACCAGGCACCUGUGCUCAGUGCACCCGGCCUUCGGGGAGAGAAGGAGGGAGCCUCGAGGCACCAGCAGCCCUGGGAGACAUCAUGCAUCUCACCUUUCCUCACUGGAAAGAGCUGCAAAAAUAAAAAUAAAAAAAAAAGAGUAGGAUUUGGGUUUGAUUUAUUUUAGUUGGCACAGAGCCCUCGUGGAGUUUGGAAAGAGUCCUGUGAUGGAGUUCUGCUAAGGAGAGCAUUCCUAGUACUGAUCUUGUGGGUAUAAGCCUUCAUGGAAAUAGAUUCAUAAGCCUAAAAACCUGGGGAGUCCUGCUGGGAAGGCUCACCAAGACCUCUGCUCAGGGAACAGAAGCAAUGCCAUGUGAUGAGAGCAACCAAGUGCCGCAGACAGACAACCUCAGCAGCAAAUACCAGACACUCUGAUUUCUCUGACACACAGACAAAUGCCCAAGCAGUUGCCUGGGGCUGUAUCUCCAAGGCACUGAAGUCCGCUGGGAGCAAUUAGGGCUCAGCAGCAGGCUGGGAAAACUCCAGGAGAAAUUCCAGCUUGGUUCAUACAGAGAAAAGCCAUCUUGUUGCAACACCCACGCUCAGGAUGGGGCCCACUUUGGUGCAUGGUUGAGACUCAGCAAGACACAUCCAAAGCACAUGGACGGCAGUUACCCCUCCUAGCCUGCGGUUAGCCAGCACUGCGCAGCUUCUCUAGAUGGGGGUGUGUAGCAGAAAUGCUGAGUCAUGGCCUGAAGCAGUGAUUGAUCACCUGGCGGGCCAACCCAGGGGAGCUCAGCUGCAUGCAAUGCCCCUGAGUGACUGGAAGGGCUGGAUCCAGGAUCCACCCCUUCCCAGACUUCAUUUAAGGGUUGGCAGUGGAGUUGAGGGUAUCUUGCUAAAGAUCCUUGCCUACCAGAGGCCUUCUAAGGUACUCCAGCACUUCCUUCUGCCGGCCAGGUUCCACCCCUGUGGCUUCCCUAUGACAUCUGCUUCCACCUGGCCCAAGCUGCCCAUGAGCAGGUGGCCAGAAGAAAAGGACAACAGCACGAGGUGGCUAUGGCACUGCUCACACACAUGCCUAGCCCGAGAGGGAAUGUUAUUGCUCUGGCUGAGGUACUCCUGGAUGGGAAGUGAGGAAUAGAAACAAUGAAGAAAUUUUGUUCCAAACACAAAAGGACAUGUGCCAUAGAAGAACUGAGACCUGAAAGUGUGAAGAGGGACCAAGACGUAGGAAGGAAGAGAUAAGGCUAAAGGUCUGGCACUGAUGUCUGAAAGACAGUAGUGGCUGAAUUACAAGUAUAUGAGCCCACCCAGGAGCAGGCACGCAGUAGAUCUACAGGAUUUGUGCUCUUUUGAAUUCUGGGCAAAAACUCUUAGGAAGCAGAUCAGGCACAACUUAUGCUGAUGUUUGCAUAGGUUAUUCUCUCUACUCGGAGACAUCAAUACACAAAAGAUGUGUCUGGCUGCUACGUAGCAGAGAAGAGGAAGCUUUGUGUGGCAACUGCAUCCCAAAACAAUCCCUUUUCAGGAGGCGUCUUCCUUUGAGCACGCUCAGCAGCAUCAGAGCUACCUUGUGCAAGCAGAAAGGUGUGAGGUACCAGCAAGUUCAUGGGACAAGGGGAUGAUGAGAGCUUAGACUAUUGCGAUGUAAAACUGAUGAAGAGCUACCCCAGGAAACCAAACUGGACCAAAAUAUAAUGGGGGCAACUGCUCACAAGUGCAGACAACAAGAAAAAGGAGAAAUCUGUCAUUGUGAUGGAAUCCCUACAAACUUAGCAUGGUAAAAAUUUGUCUUCAGCUACUCCCUCCCUGGCUCUGAAUGCAUCAGCCAGCAAAUGGUGGGCAUCUCUUCUUGGAUGCUCAGCAGAACCUGUGUGCAAUACAGGCACUGGGCUAACGAAUAACAUGAUAGAUUUAAGUCUCGCAAGAGAGCAAGGGAAAAUCCAGAUUGGGGCUUUCUGGGCUUUGUUUCUUUUAUGCACCACUGGAGCAAGGAAAUAUAUCAAUAUGGAAGUUUAGAAAUGGUUUGAGGCUUCGCGGAACUUGCAUCAGAGUGGCCCUGUGCCUAAUAUUACCAUAGUUCACAAAGGUCACAUGGUGAAGUGCUGGUUUCAGGCAGCAUGGCUUUGGGAAUUUCAGAGGGUUGUUUAGAGGAACAGUCCAGGGCUUGGCUGAGGUACUGAUCAGGCUGUGCGGGAACUUUGCUUCAUCCCACAAAUACCUAAAAUUCAAUUUUUGUUGCGAUGUGGAUAAUCUGCAGUCAAUGUAGAACUCUUGUCCGUGGUCAGUAACUUUUCUACGAGAGCAAGCUACAAACUUCCCUGGCCUAUCUAGAGAGCUGCUAGCUUCUUGAGAUCACUCUUGACGGAAACAUUUUGAGUUUCAUCUGGGUUUGCUAAGAAAUCCAUAGGGGGUAGGUGAGCUGGUGUUUUUUCAGCAUGCAGCAUUGAUCAGCCACCCGUAUGUGCUCUGAGGAGCACUGGGCACCAGCACAGGGAAGGCUGCCCAGGAGGGAGCACAGUCUCCCUGCACCAGCUAUCUGCAUUUUUUUUUUUUAUUGCAUCAUUGCACCGAGUCUUGCUUGUAAGAGUUGAGAUGAGACAGUGCUAAAGCCGUGGGCAGCCUGUGAUGGCGCUGGUGCCAUUGCUAGCAGAGGGAACUCGCUCUGCGGAAGCAUGGAGAAGGCCAAUGCAUUCACAGAGACAAGAAUAAACUGUUUUACAAUAGGAUUUGGCAACAAAUGCAAAGCAUUGUUCCCUUUGCUGUUGUUGGGGGUGCGGAGGAAGGCACAGUUUCUCAUAGAGAAGCUACAUUUCAGCUCAGUUCCCUGAUCCAGAUGGAAAACCAACAGACAAGCCUGUACCUCAGCCUCUGGGUUUCUCCAAACUGAGUAGGCUAGUUCUUGUUUCCAGCUGCAGCAGAAGCUCUCUUUGUUGUUUAGCUGUUGUUUAGCAGGAAUAGAUUGAUUUCUCCUAUAGCCUGAAUGUAACCAGUUAUGCCAGUGGAAGCCCUGUGUGCGGACAGCUCCAUCCCACAUCAGCUGUGGGGUGCAGCUCCCUGGUGGGAACCCAGGUCAGCACAUUUGAGCAGAUAGGCUCAGAUAAAGAAUGAUAUACGUAGCUGCAGAUGUAAUAUUUUAGGCUACUGAAAUAGGGAAGAGCAGCUACUGUUUGCUUUAGUGGCAGGAGAUAUUGUGCUAGGCUUUCAUGAGUCUCAUGAAAUGGAUUACUUGAUGUAAACAAGGCUCAAGGUAACUCCAGUUUGAUCUAUCAUGUAUCUGUCUUAUGCACUGUGGGGGGAAAAGCAGGUUGGUUGGUUGGUUUUUUUUUGUUCGGUUUGUUUGUUUGUUUUGUUUUUUCAGGAUCUCCAUUCAGCCUGGGUAGCUGAUCACUCUUGCUCUUGUAUGGUGUUUUGCAGGACAAGCAUCAUUUUGAUGAAACCAUAAGACUCCUUUAAUGGAAACUGGGGGCUGCGUGAGAGUCACCACUACAGAAAAUUCUGCAUUUCUAAUGGCCUGAGUUAUUUAAUGGCUUAUCUGAAAUGCUCUGAGAGCUGCCUGGCACUGCCAGAACCAGCAUGAGAGCAGUCAUGGUCAGAUGAGGCUUUCCCACAGGUGUCCCUUGGAGGAUGAGAUCCUUUUCUGGCAAGCCAUAUGAGCUCAGUAAGAUCCUCGUUAUGGCCAAGCUCACAUGCCAUAUACUUCCUCUAUUAGUUUUGCCUUGGGGUAAUUUUUCUGAUGGCCAAAGACAAGAUCCCUGGCAGUCAAGCUCAUGGACCCAGUGUUCACCUUUGCCUUUGCUGGUUCUAAAGAACAAGGACAUGGCCAGCUAACCAAUAAAUAAUUUGGCAAAUAGCAACGGAAAGGAAGAAUCAGACUUUUCUUAAGAAAAGCUAUCAUUGCACUUUACUGAGGUAAUUGUUUCCUACUAGGUGGUACCUUGACAGCCGGAAGAACACAGGCUGUAAGUGUUCAGAGCUGCAUGCUUUCCAGGUAAUUUGAUUUCCCGUACAACAUACUCCUGGGGAAGGCAUUGACCAGCUGCUUCUUGAGGAACUCCACUUGCUCCUCCUGCUGAGGAGACCUCAGCUCUGCAUGGGUUGCAAAGGCUUUUCCCUGUGUGCCCUGUCUGGUUGCAGUUCCCCUGCUGGGUUGCCCAUCCCAAGGUGAAGCCAGCCCUGCAUGUGUUGCAAAACUUUCCUCUCCAAGUGACUUCAUCGUGCCAAGCAGUAAUGGCUCUGGUAUGAUGCUCAGAGCAUUUCCUGAGAAAAAAGGACAUUGUCAUAGCUGGGGUCUUAUACAAUGCGCUCCACAAAAGGAGGGAAGGAAGGUAAAUAUAGAAAAUUGAGGAGAUAUUCUGCAUUGAGAGACACAACAAAAGGAAAACUGCCAGGAAAUGACUCCACAAUGGGGCCAAAUUCAGACUCCUUGGUACUAAACACUCACAUAGACAACCCCCAUCCUCCAGCAGCUGAACAAGGAGCGCCCAGCACCCCUGGAAACUGGGAAAGCUCUAGAUAGAAAUCAGUGAGGCUCUUCCCACUGGGUUUGAGAGCUAAGCUCUUACUGAAUAUCUAAAACAAGCCUUUAGGUUGGUUGCUGUAAGCUUUCAGUUCUAGCAGUGUGAGCCUAGUUAGGUCUACAUAAAGCAUCUUUCUCUGCAGAUAUUAACAGACCUAUUCAUAUUCACUGCACUCAGAGCUAGAGAAGAUGUUGAUACAACCCAAGCCCAUUUAUUCCCUUGCUGUCUGGUCUAGGCCAGUCAUCCUUGCACUCUCCAAAGUCAAGGGAGAGAGAAAGAAGUAUUUCCAAAGGAUAAUUCAUCCCAUCCCAAGAUAAAUGGUGUUAGCAGGCGGAGGAGAGGUUAAACUGCUCUUUGAAGAUGCCUCCACGGGUUAGCAGGAAGCAUGACUUAGACUAAACACCUACCCACUAAAUAAGGAAGGGAUGAAUCCCACCAUUAUGGUCUAAACUGAUAAUACAAUACAGAUGUGUAGAGCAGUAAGUGACCAGAUGGUGAAUUUAUCACACUACAGUGUAGUUUCUUGUAAUAUAAAUACAGGCUGAUUAAAUAGUUGAUUUGCUCAACAGAGCAUCUCAGCUUCAUUACGAGAGCUAGUCUGGAGUCAUUACAAGUCAACACAGGGCCCUGUGUAUGUUUUUAGAAAAUAUGAUGGUCUGGAAAUAAAAGAUGUGCAAGCAGCAAUUUUUGGUCAAUUAAUCUAAGGUUCUCUGUACUGAAAAAGAAUCCUGGCAUCCAUUUUUCCAUGCUAUGUGCAGAAAUGAUAUUUAAUGCCAAAUUACAUUUAAAUGAACAAAACCGCUGCAAGACUACAAUACAUUAGGACUACUAAACUUAGCCUCUCCAUGUAUUCCCUUGUGCCUCAGAAUCAAUGGUAUUAUUUUGAACAAGAAAAACAGAUUUUUCUUCAAGGCUCUCUGGUUUACUGAGCUACCCAAAUGCUUUGACAAAACUGUAUCUGAUACUGUGGGGUACUGAAAAUAAAGAAGAAAGUUAAAAUAAAAAAAAAAUAGGGCUUUCAUAAAUCAUCCUGUCUGCUGGAAGCAGUUCCCUACAGUCUGAAUGUGAGCAGCCCACAUCCAGCAUCUCCCAGGGCAGGACAUGCAUGGGGAUCUGACAUGCAGCUGCAGUCAGAGCAGAUCCUGCCAUCUCCACUACAACAGCACACAACCAUCCUUCAGGCCAGGCUGCCUAUAGCUUGGAGGAGGCACAGUGACCGCAAGACCUGCUAGCCUCUCUGUGAUGCAAGCAGCAAGCUCACAUCCAUGUUGCCACCUUCCCUACACAGCUAUGGGAUGGUGCAUGAAGCCAAAGUCCUGGUGUGGGUGAUUCCAGAAGACCUCAGCAUGGCCGCACAGAGCAGCAAGGAGAUCUUUUGGAUGGGGGGCAGGUUGCCUUCAAAGCACCAAAGAGAAUGUCCUUCAAAAGAAGGAACGUGCUCAGAUGUUCUGCCAGCACAGUGUCAAGCCACUUACGGGAAUGUUUUCAGCAAAUAUCAGCCCAGUUCUUCCCCGGCCUUUGCUGAGGACCUCUUAGCAAGCACAGUUGGGUCCCCCACAAAGCACUUUCCCCAGGUAUAUUUUGGGUUUGGAAAAAUCCUCUAAGAGGUGUUAUGUUCAUAGAAC